GUUACAGGUGUAGAUAACGUCCUCCAGUGAGGCUGUAAUGAGCUUUAUCAAGUCAUUUUAUGUUUUUUGGACAAACGUCUCUGAACCCUCAGAUCAGGAGGCAGAGGAGGGAAAACGGCAUGAGGCAACAGCGUUAUACGUUUUGAUUUAUGGAGGUCAGAAAUGUUCAAGUCCAAAGUUGUUUGGAAGAUCAGAACAAUGAAACAUCCCCGUAUCCUUGAUAUUCAAGCACCCAGUCGUCUCCCAAACCUGACCUGUAACGACUCUCUGAUGUAAAACACCUGUUGGCUGCAGGAGAGCAACAGUGUAGAUGUUCUGCUGAAAAGUUUGUGGCACAAAACUCUGCGACGGUCUUUCUUCCAACAAUGUUUACACUGGCACUCCCAGGACCUUAUAUGAAUCAUCGGCAUGAGGAGGCGACCACACAGCCACGGGGGUUUGGUGAAGGCAACAUAUGGUGGAACCAAAAGAGACUCUCAGUUUACUGGAAGAGAUGAGAGCUCCUCUCGUCUGUUCAGCUCCUGAUGAUAUGACGCUGUCACCCCGAGCAACAACAAAAUAACAGUAAUUUUGCAAAUGAAGAUGCAGUUUUGAGCUGUAAUUUUACAUGAGAUCUUGUCUUUGUUUUUGGCUUUUUAAUGUUUAAUUACAGAUAUUUCUACAUGUUAAAAAAACAAUGAAAAUACAA